rnacentral:lncRNA from 1 species
CAAAGGGUUAACUGUUUGUCUCCUUGUGUCAGUUCCUCAGUUGGUAUGGAUUAGUGUAGCUGACUUCAGCAGAACCAGCUCUAUUUUCAGCAGCUCAGAAUAUAGUCUCUUGGGCUGUUUUAGUAUUAAACAAACUUGUUCAAUUAGCAACAAUUACUUCUGACAGUGAAAGGAUAACAGAGGAUUCUGCUCGCAGGAGUGCUUCAUGCCAGUUUGUGUUUGCUUACUUCACCACUGAGAGCAGUAAAUCAGUGCAAAAAUUUUGGCACCAAGUUGGCAUUUAUAGUUGAAAACAGAUACCCUGUAACUUACAGCUUGAUAUCCAGCUUGAGUGAUAUCAUGGUCUAAACAUGUUCCAAAAUAAUGGAAAGAGCACAAGAAACAAUCAAAGUGUGGGUCCUUCCGGUGAAAUGCACUGCAUAUGUCUGACUAUCACAUAUUUCUGGGAGCUAUAGCUGAUUAACACAUUUGGCUGUUACUUGGAAGAGCAGUAGGUGAUAUCUGCUCAAGGACAGAACUCGUGUUUUUGGAGAGUAUCACGGGAUGUCGUGCCAAAGGUGGCAGGAACUGGACUCACUUUCCACUCCAGCGUGCCAACGACUGAUUCACCUAACGUAUGAAAUUGAAUAAUACCUGGUGACAAUUUUUUUUUCAUUCCUCUGGAUUUCUUACAAUUUUAUUUUAAUCAUUUCAGUGUAUUUUAUAAUUAGUUUAUUUUUUUAUUGUUAAUAUAUUAAUUAAAAAGCUA